AUAUCGCUGAUAUGUGGUUUUAUAAUAAAUUCUCUUCUCACACGCCCCAAGUGGAGGCCGACCAUUGCACUGCGGUCGGCUGAAACUUGCCACUUCCCCAAACUGGGGUAGAUGGGGCAUGCAAUUUUUGGUAGUGGGGCUAGGCGUCCGCGCCAGCCCCUU
rnacentral:snRNA from 1 species